AAGGGUAUAGUUUAAACAUGAAAAUAUUGAGUCUAUAACUCAGAGAUAUUAAUUUAUUUUAUUAUUACUCUUA
rnacentral:tRNA from 1 species